rnacentral:lncRNA from 1 species
UACCCAUGGAGAUCUUUCUUGUCCUUGUUUGAGGUCUUCCACUAGGUUCAGUAGGUUGAUAACAUCCUGCGAAACUGCAACAUUAUAACUUCUAGAUGCGGUCAUCAAUACAAUGAGGAUACAGAGCAUUUCUGAUACCACAGGAUCCUUCCUGCUGCCCUUUUAGAGCCACACCUCCUCUCCCACCCUGACAACCAGAGAACUAGUCUCCUUUUCUACAAUUUUGCCAUUUCACUCCUUGCUUUCUUACCACCCUUUCAGACCCCAAGCCAUCCCUGCUGGAUGUUUGGCUGCCUUGCAUCCGCUUGUGGUCAGCCUCAGGUCUGGCCUCCCUUUCCUCCUGAGUCACACAGUCCAACCUUCACCCUUAAAUGGCACUCUGAUUUUUUUUUUUUUUUUAGCAAUUUCUUUCUACUCGAUCCAGGGCAUUUCACAUUUAUCUUCAUCUUCCUGGGGAGGUGGCAUAUCUCUUGCAAAGAGCAGGGGCUUUUAAUCUUUUCUCCACUUCUUUCAGCCUCAGUUUUCUCAUCUACCAACCUCCCUGAACCAUGGAGAGUAAGUGACACAGGAGGGGACUUCCCAGUACCCAGCAUGUCAUGGGCUUUUGAUGCAUGGUAGCUGGGAGUGGCAACCAUGCAUAACUUAGGACCGCCUACAGACCUCAGCCAGUCUGCAAAAUAAAAAUAGCAACCAAACAAAAUGCUAUUUCCUGACGGGAUUAAAGUCAGAAAGGCACCUGGUCCUAGAGCAGAAGUCCCACAGUUUAUUCACAGUAGCUGAUAAUUGGGCUACAUUAUCGACUCUCAAGAAGGGUAUCAAGGUUUUGGGGAGCCCAGGGAUGGAUGAUCAGAAAUCUGCCCAUCGACAACAUGCAUCACACAACUUGCUGUGUGCCCUUGUUAAGUUUCUCUACCUCUCUGGACCUCCACUUCUUGGUCAGCCACGGGAGAGGGGGGGGAGAGGGGGGCAGUUCAACCUGUUGUUUCCUCGCACUGUGGUUCAGGAUCCACAGAGGAGGGCAAGGGGGUGCCCUACGAAGGUCUCUGGCCUCCUCCUCCCCUCACCCAUCAACCCAAAGCAGCCUCCUACAUCUAAAGAGCCAAGAGACUUUUCCUUUGAAGAAGCUCUGGUGGUUUACAAACAUUGGCAACCACAUCCCGAUAACUGCUGAGGUUUCCCUGGCUCUGAAGGUCUGUGAUCCGAGCCCUUGCGCUUGUGGCUGCACACAGGGCUUUCUGUAGCAGAAAUAGGUCUCAGCUUCAGCACCGAGUCCUCCAGGAGGCCUUCUCUAGCUCUGAAGAUGAAGGCAGGGCCACCUGUGGGCACAUGCAUGGUAUCUCUCCCUACAUUGCCCACUGGAGCAUUCUCAGGGGCGGAACUAAAGAAUCUCGGGGGGAGCAUGGGCACCCUGGCAGCAAGGCGAUGGGGGUGCUGUGUGUGUGACUACCCUGGAGGGGCCGACCCAACCCUGACUAAUGGGCACCACUGGCGGUGAGAGGACCCUGCAUCAGCUGUAGCAUAGCUUACUUUGGGGUUUUUAGUUUUUUUGUUUUGGGAAGAAAACAAUUAAACCUUAUUUAUUUUUAAAACCAAACCACCAGGAAAAUACAUCACAGUCUCAAAACAGCAAACACACAGGCCAUAUUAUCACUUUAAGGAAUAAGCUGGUAAAAAGACAAUAAGGUGCCCGAACUGGGGUAAGAACAAAGGCCCUGGCAAAAGCGGUAUUUGCUCAUGAGGCCUGUUCCUCUCUUCCAAGGAGUCACAGCCAGCCCCGAGUCGCUUACUUUUUCUCCCUUGACCUUCACGUUGCCAAGGGAUCAUCUCAACAGAGCCCUGCUCUUUAAGUGGCAACAUAAGCAAAACUGGAUUUAGGCUUUCGUUCUAUUCUGUUUUAUGAAAACCAGAUUUUUCCAAAUCCAGUCCUUCACAACUCUCUGAAUUAAGCAGACGACAGUUCCUCUUGCACUGUGCACUCCCGAAUCCUAGUACAGAACGCAACUGAGAUCCUUCAAGGGUGAGUGUCAGCGUAAGACGGUCCCGUCCCUCUGCUGCAGCCUCAGGGCCAUCGUGGCCGCCGGUGAAAGGGAGACCUGCUUCCCACACCGUCCAACAUCCCCUCUCAUAUCUCGGCAAGGUCUCCAGGCCGAACGAUGUCAACGUGUGAGCAUUUUAAGUAAGGCACGCCUACAUCUCGAUGGCCAGAAACGAGUACUCACAGGGACCCUUUCAAAGCUCUCAUCCGCACUACCGCUCCCAACGCCACAUCUCAAACUAACUUCAUACCCUUGUGUAUAAAAUAAAACCCUGGAAGCCCCUCCUAAACUGGUGACCUUGUGGAUUUUGUUUUAUUGUAGUUUGUGGAAAAUGGCUCGGUGUGUGUUCAUCCUUCUGGUAAAUAGGAGGUUGGCUGGCAAGAAGCAGAAACACCUCUCCUCACACGCCACUAGGUCCCAGGCAGGCUAGAGGAAGCUGCCAGCCUGUUGGUAUCUGUGUACUAGGGACUCUGAUACGUCGGAGGGCUCUGCUAUGCGGGCGGGUCCCUGCUGCCAGGAUAGGCACUUGCCACGCGAAACUGAGGCUCUCCAAAACUCUCCCGUGCGAUCCCUGACCCAAAUUUUAGCCCCAGAUCCAUUUUCCCGUUUCACUUUCUAGGACUGAAACACGAAGGAACCAGUGUCCAGGGGCGAGUGACAGGUGCCUUAAACCUGCUUCCAUCUGUAAUUUCUUCAUUCAUAAACUUGGCUUAGAAGACCCAGAGCCCCCAUCCCUCUUUUCACAUAGCUCCCCGCCCUCAGCGCCAGUGGCCAACGGCAGACGUCUACUUCCCCUUGGACCAGAGGGACGCCUUCACCUUCCUGGUCAUGGCUGGGAUGAGGCUCAUGUGGCCGUCCACACCCUUGGUCACACCGCCUGCCAGCUGCCGCUUCACCUGGAGCUCUGUACUCCCCACAUCUGUUGAAUCUUUGGCUUUGUCACCGCAGCGCAAAGCAGGCAGUCCUGGAACUCCUCCCACUUGCUGGUGACCAGGGCCUGGGCUUGAGGCAGAGGUGCAUGGGGGGAGGGUAACACUCAAAGCACUGGCGCACCUGCUGCAUGGAUGCCCGGCUGUCCUCAGAACAGUGGGCACUGCACCGGAACAUGAAGCCCUGCAUCUUCUGGAGGUUCUCUCUCUCCAGAUUCUUCACCAUGGAGUCCACUGCCCCCUGCACCCAGAGCUACUGCAGCUCCGCCGUGGCGACCCCCAGCUGCUCCCUGCAGUGCGGGUGGUGCCCACAUAGACUCGCGAGUACCGUGUAGCUUUACUUCGUGACCCAGUUACAGCAGAGCCCUUUGUGUGACACCCUCUUCCAGGAGGGGAAGGAGCGACAGGGCAGCUUGCUCAGCACUGUAAACACCUGGCAACCACCACGGAUGCAAAGGACUCUGCACAAGUCCGAUAUGGUAGCCACUGGUCAUGUGACUAUUCAAAUGACUUAAAUGAAAUACACGUUAAAAUCCAGUUCCCUAGCCCUGUUUCAAGUGUGCCCACCAACGUGGACGGCACAACUACGGCACAUUUCCGUCACCCCCAGAAGUUCAACUGGAGGGUGCAACCUGAGCUCAGCCCUCUAAACUCCUCCUUCCAUGAAUCCAUUCACCUCGGUCCCUGCAUCUUUGUCACUUGUUCCUAAAGAGCCCCUGAAUGGCGUCCCCCCUCAAAUUCACAUCCAACCCAACCAGAACCUUAUUUGGGAAGAAGACCUUUACGGACGUAACCGGUUCAGAUGAAGUCAUCCUGGAUUAGAGCAGGUCCCAAAUCCAGUAAGACUCCUUUAAGAGAAAAGACACAGAGACCCGCACAGGGACAGGGCCAGGUAAGGACAGAGGCAGCAACUGGAGUGACGUAUCUACAAGACGAGGAAGGCCAAGCGCUGCCAGCCGUCACCAGAAGCCAGGAGGAGCUUAGACCAGAAGCUGACACCUUGACCUUAGACUUCUGGCCUCCAGAACUGUGAGAGGGCAUACCUCUGUGCUUUGAGCCACCUAGUCUGCAGUUAGUUGUCCCAGCAGCCACCGGAGACUAACACAGCGCCCUAUGUAGAGACCUCCACAUUCUCAUCUAACCCUCUCCCUCUUUCCCAGACAUCUCAGACCAUCCGAUCCUCAGGUAUCAACCUCCAGACACGACAUCCGCGGAGCCAGUCAGAUCCUCAGCCACUCCAGCCUGCCAGUCCUGCAUAGGUGGGAACACCUGGCCCUGAAGGGGUGCAAGCUGGCAGGGCUGCCCAGGAAGGAGCUGGGGGACCCCUGCAGAGUCUGCAAAUCCCCCGCUUUCUCUCUUUUCAACACUAAAACAAUAUCAGAAAGCAACAAGCCCCAGGCGAUCCAGUCAGUGGUCAAACAGUGGAGCCUGAUAGCUUACUUUAUUAACUUGCUAAAUCAAAGGGCCGUUAGAGUCUCUGUCCGGUAAUAAAACUCAGGAAGGAGAUGAAUCACCCACCUAUUAGCACGGUGUUGGCACAGCUAAUGGAUGUGGCCUGGCCGGACCCAGGCCGGACCAGAACAAAGCCGGCCUGCAUUCCCACCUACGAACCCUGCCACCUCCUCCACCUGCCCGCCUGCGGCCACCUGCCUGUGGAUGAGGGCUGCGGCAGCAUCUGUUCACCAUGGCUUGCUUUUUCAACACACCCAGAAUUAUCCCACCCAACCCACUCCUCCAGGAUCCCGCCACGACCCCAAACAAACACAAAGAAACCAAACAUCCAGAAAUCCAGGGUUUAUUGAAUCCAUCCUUCAAGGAAGCAGCCAGCACGGGGUUGUUACAACGCACUGCAGACAGGUGCAAAGCCCCCAGAGCCUAAGGCUGGGCGGCAUCACCCUCUGACUACACAGAGCCAGGAAAUAGCCUAUUUUCUGCCCUUCGCCCCACUUUCUUGGGGCUGUUCCUCAGAGCACUUUUUCCUGCAGCUUUAAAAGGGGGAGAAAGGCACUGCUGUGAAAAUUCAGCCUCAACCGCCGUUUUCCUGCAUGCAGCUUACUCGGAACAGCUGGUCUAAUGCGCUGAACCUCAGUUCUGGGAACCUCCUUCUGGGAAUGUCUAGGAAGGUAAGUAUCUAAAGUGCUUAAGGGUUUGCUCUACCACAAAUGCUCGCUCCAUUAAUGCUGCUUGUUAAUGAUUUUGAUGAAUAAUGGGCCUGGAAUACAGUAAGUCCUCGGCAAAAAUAAUAAUACUGUUAUUAUUUCUGAAGUAACAUCUAGCAACACCAGGCUCCAAGUGCCAUAAAAACUCAUUAUAAAUAGCUCAUUAUAAGACUCACCUCGACAACCAUCCAAAUUACAUCCCUCAGCCCUUUCCAAGGAAAUCCAGAAAAGACUGGGCCUGAAUCCCCCACUCAGGUUAAAAGCAGGACCCACAAAGCUCCCCGGAGUCGCACAAAGCCAGGUUUGGCGGAUGGCUCCCCGCUGACCCAUGACUGGCCUCCCGUAAAGGCUUCUUGAUUUAUUACUGCAGCAGGACUGAACUCUUCAGCCAGGAGCUUGGCUCCAUUACGCUCCAUUACUCUGGGCCUCGUUUGCAGGCAGCCCCUGGGGCUUGAUUCAUCCACUUCCGUCAGGAGGUCUUGGUGGAAAGAGCUCCCCGUGCCUCUGCGAUACCGUAAUCCUCCAUUCCCAAAGCUCAGGCCCACCGAGAACCCUCAAGAAGGAACCCAGCACGAGUUCAUUCUCCUUCCCGGGAGAAGAGAGAGCAGAAGGAGGGAGAAAAAGCGGCGUGUGCAUUCUUGACCUCUCCCGAGAGGGCGACGCUCCUUUGCCUUUGCUUCCGAGGGCUGCUCACGGGACGAGAUCUGAGCCCCCGCCCUCUUGCCAGAGUGCGAGGAAGACACUGAAGCCCGCAGGCUCCUCUUCGCUUGCGAUCUGCCCUUGGUGUGUUGACCCGGGGUGGCCUCUGCUCCGAUCUGCGUCGCUUUCCAGAGGGAGGCUUCGGUGUGAGAAAGUUAAGAGGCUUUUCUUAUACACUAGAAAGCAACUCACCCUGGCAAUUGUUGCUAUGAGGACAGAAAGGGAGGCGCAGGCAUUUAGCUG